rnacentral:rRNA from 1 species
GACGAACGCUGGCUGCGUGCCUAAUACAUGCAAGUCGAACGCAGUGGGGACGGGUGAGUAACACGUGGGUAACCUCCCAUCAGAGGGGAUAACACUUGGAAACAGGUGCUAAACCGAUACUGAUGGAUGGAUUCGCGGUGCAUUAGGUAGUUGGUGAGGUAACGGCUCACCAAGGCCGCGAUGCAUAGCCGACCUGAGAGGGUGGUCGGCCACACUGGGACUGGGACACGGCCCAGACUCAUACGGGAGGCAGCAGUAGGGGAUCGUCAGCAAUGGACGGAAGUCUGACCGAGCAACGCCGCGUGAGUGAAGAAGGUUUUCGGAUCGUAAAGCUCUGUUGUUAGAGAAGCGGUAUCUAACCAGAAAGCCACGGCUAACUACGUGCCAGCAGCCGCGGUAAUAC